UUGACGGGGCCGCACAAGCGGUGGAGCAUGUGGUUUAAUUCGAUGCAACGCGAGAACUUACCUGGGCUUGACAUCCCGGGAAUCCCUGGAAACAGGGGAGUGCCCUUCGGGAACCCGGUGACAGGUGCUGCAUGGCUGUCGUCAGCUCGUGUCGUGAGAUGUUGGGUUAAGUCCCGCAACGAGCGCAACCCUUGUCUUUAAUUGCCAUCAUUUAGUUGGGCACUUUAAAGAGACUGCCGGUGUUAAGCCGGAGGAAGGUGGGGAUGACGUCAAGUCCUCAUGGCCUUUAUGCCCAGGGCUACACACGUGCUACAAUGGGGUCGACAAUGGGAUGCAAUAUCGCAAGAUGGAGCCAAUCCCCAAACGGCCUCUCAGUUCGGAUUGUAGUCUGCAACUCGACCUCAUGAAGCCGGAAUCGCUAGUAAACGUGAAUCAUGACGUCACGUUGAAUAUGUUCCUGAGCCUU
rnacentral:rRNA from 1 species